rnacentral:rRNA from 1 species
UCGGGAAUUUUGGGCAAUGGGCGAAAGCCUGACCCAGCAACGCCGCGUGAGGGAUGAAGGCCUUCGGGUCGUAAACCUCUGUCGGAAGGGAAGAAAGGUCGCGAGUCGAACAGGCUCGGGGCUUGACGGUACCUUCAAAGGAAGCACCGGCUAACUCCGUGCCAGCAGCCGCGGUAAUACGGAGGGUGCAAGCGUUGUUCGGAAUUACUGGGCGUAAAGCGCGUGUAGGCGGCUUCGCAAGUCGGAUGUGAAAUCCCAGGGCCCAACCCUGGAACUGCAUCCGAUACUACGGAGCUGGAGUCCUGGAGAGGAUGGCGGAAUUCCGGGUGUAGAGGUGAAAUUCGUAGAUAUCCGGAGGAACACCAGUGGCGAAGGCGGCCAUCUGGACAGUGACUGACGCUGAGACGCGAAAGCGUGGGGAGCAAACAGGAUUAGAUACCCCCGUAGUCC